rnacentral:rRNA from 1 species
GAUGAACGCUGGCGGCGUGCCUAAUACAUGCAAGUCGAGCGAACAGACGAGGAGCUUGCUCCUCUGACGUUAGCGGCGGACGGGUGAGUAACACGUGGAUAACCUACCUAUAAGACUGGGAUAACUUCGGGAAACCGGAGCUAAUACCGGAUAAUAUAUUGAACCGCAUGGUUCAAUAGUGAAAGACGGUUUUGCUGUCACUUAUAGAUGGAUCCGCGCCGCAUUAGCUAGUUGGUAAGGUAACAGCUUACCAAGGCAACGAUGCGUAGCCGACCUGAGAGGGUGAUCGGCCACACUGGAACUGAGACAAGGUCCAGACUGCUACGGGAGGCAGCAGUAGGGAAUCUUCCGCAAUGGGCGAAAGCCUGACGGAGCAACGCCGCGUGAGUGAUGAAGGUCUUCGGAUCGUAAAACUCUGUUAUUAGGGAAGAACAAAUGUGUAAGUAACUAUGCACGUCUUGACGGUACCUAAUCAGAAAGCCACGGCUAACUACGU